rnacentral:misc_RNA from 1 species
UCCGUGUUAACCACGGCAGUCUCGUGUGAAAAACAACACACGAUAAGGGUUGCGCUCGUUACCCCACUGAAGGGAACAUUUUACAACACGAGCUGACGGCAACCAUGCAGCACCUGUUCAGCACCCUCGAAGGCUCCCCAGUUUCUUGGGGUGUGCAGCUGAAUUUCUAACCUUGGUAAGGUUCUUCGCUUACCAUCGAAUUAAACCACACGCUCCACCGCUUGUGCGGGCUCCCGUCUAUUCCUUUGAGUUUUAGCCUUGCGGCCGUACUACCCAGGCGGAUGACUUAACGCGUUAGCUUCGACACUGAGAGGGUCGAUUCUCCCAAUGCCUAGUCAUCAUCGUUUACGGCGUGGACUA